rnacentral:rRNA from 1 species
UUCGGAAUUACUGGGCGUAAAGGGCUCGUAGGUGGCCAACUAAGUCAGACGUGAAAUCCCUCGGCUUAACCGGGGAACUGCGUCUGAUACUGGAUGGCUUGAGUUCGGGAGAGGGAUGCGGAAUUCCAGGUGUAGCGGUGAAAUGCGUAGAUAUCUGGAGGAACACCGGUGGCGAAGGCGGCAUCCUGGACCGACACUGACACUGAGGAGCGAAAGCGUGGGGAGCGAACAGG